UAGUCAUGCUCAGAAGAGACAAGAGGAGC
rnacentral:piRNA from 1 species